rnacentral:lncRNA from 1 species
CGCUAUGGGGUCCCAUUGGAUCCCAUUGGGUUUGGGCUGUCCCUAUGGGGUCCCAUUGGGGUCUGGGGGCCGCUAUAGGGUCUGGGGGUCCCUAUGGGGUCUGGUGGUCCCAUUGGGGUCCCACUGGGGUCCCACUGGAUCCCAUUGGGUUUGGGCCUGUCCCUAUGGGGUCCCAUUGGGGUCUGGGGGUCCCACCGGGGUCCCAUUGGAUCCCAUUGGGUUUGAGCUGUCGCUGUGGGGUCCCAUUGGGGUCUGGGGGCCGCUAUAGGGUCUGGGGGUCCCUAUGGGGUCUGGGGGGUCCCACUGGGGUCCUAUUGGAUCCUAUUAGGUUUGGGCUGUUCCUGUGGGGUCCCAUUGGGGUCUGCGGGUCGCUAUGGGAUCUGGGGGUCCCUACGGGGUCUGGGGGUUGCAUGGGAUCCCAUUGGGUUUGGGCCUGUCCCUAUGGGUUCCCAUUGGGGUCUAGGGGUCCCAUUGGGGCCUGGGGGUCCCACUGGGGCGCGUGGGUCGCUAUGGGGCGCCCCAGUGGGUCGCUAUGGGGUGGGGGGGGUGGGGUGGGGGACGCACGUGUACGCGGCCAGGCUGCUGUCGUAGGUGGUCUUGACGCCGUAGUUCUCCUCGUUGAAGCGGAACAUCUCGGCCGGGUCCCACCCGUUGGACUGCGACGCACGGGACCCCCGUCACCACCCCCCA